rnacentral:sRNA from 1 species
GCUGGACGUGGUGGCUCACGCCUGUAAUCCCAGCAGUUUGGGAGGUUGAGGCAGGAGGAUGGCCUUAGGAACUUAGUAAGACCCUAAGCAACUCAGCGAGACCCUGUCUCCA